rnacentral:rRNA from 1 species
GACGAACGCUGGCGGCGUGCUUAACACAUGCAAGUCGAACGGUGAAGCUCCAGCUUGCUGGAGUGGAUCAGUGGCGAACGGGUGAGUAACACGUGAGCAACCUGCCCCUGACUCUGGAAUAAGCGCUGGAAACGGCGUCUAAUACUGGAUACGAGAAGGGUCCGCAUGGGCACUUUCUGGAAAGUUUUUCGGUUGGGGAUGGGCUCGCGGCCUAUCAGCUUGUUGGUGAGGUAAUGGCUCACCAAGGCGACGACGGGUAGCCGGCCUGAGAGGGCGACCGGCCACACUGGGACUGAGACACGGCCCAGACCCCUACGGGAGGCAGCAGUGGGGAAUAUUGCACAAUGGGCGAAAGCCUGAUGCAGCGACGCCGCGUGAGGGAUGACGGCCUUCGGGUUGUAAACCUCUUUCAGCAGGGAAGAAGCGAAAGUGACGGUACCUGCAGAAGAAGCACCGGCUAACUACGUG